rnacentral:rRNA from 1 species
UACGUAGGGUGCAAGCGUUAAUCGGAAUUACUGGGCGUAAAGCGUGCGCAGGCGGUUCGCUAAGACAGAUGUGAAAUCCCCGGGCUUAACCUGGGAACUGCAUUUGUGACUGGCGGGCUAGAGUAUGGCAGAGGGGGGUAGAAUUCCACGUGUAGCAGUGAAAUGCGUAGAUAUGUGGAGGAAUACCGAUGGCGAAGGCAGCCCCCUGGGAUAACACUGACGCUCAUGCACGAAAGCGUGGGGAGCAAACAGG